UACCCUUGCUUGUUUCCAAUACUUAUUUCUUCCAAUGGAUUUGAGUCACAAUCUGGUAUCAUUUCCUUUCAGCCUUUGGGACGGUCUUUAACGUUUCUUUUCUGUUAGUUUGGCUAGCAAUACAUUUCCUGUCUUUAUUUUGAAGGGUAGUUUUGCUGGAUGUAGCAUUCUUGACUGACAGUUCCUUGUCUUCCCAUUCUUCAAAUAAGUCCUUCAUUGACUUCUGACCUCCACUGUUUCUGAUGAGAAGUCAACUGUUAAUUGUAUUGCUCCGCUAUGUGAGAUAAACCGUAUUUUCCUGUUUUCAAGAUUUUCCCAACAGUUUCACUAUAGUGUCUAGGUGUGGUUCUCUUCGUGUUUAUCCUGGGUUUUAUGGAAAUUGUUGGGUUUGUAGGUUGACCUUUAUCAUCAAACUCGGGAAGUUUCCGCUAUUAUCCUCCCAAAUAUUUCUGUGCCCCGCUCCCUGACUCCCAUUACCUCUUGGUGUGCUCAAUGCCGGCCCACAGGGGUCAGUGUGAAGCUUGCCCAUAAUGAAACAUGGCCCUCUCUUUUAGGAGCAUUUACAUUUUUUUCUGAUUCCACUUAAUUUUGAAAACUUAGUUCACUGGCUAUUACUUAAAAACAUGGUAUUUAUUAUAUUCUCUCAAAAACAGGGAGAAUAAUAUUUAGGUUUUUGUUUUGCAUAUAUAGGAACUUAAGAGAUGACAAAAGUGAAGCUGUAAUAAAAGACUGGAUGAAAUGGGAGAAAACGGUUUCCAGGUGCAAAGUUCUGGCGAUGGACACAUCGUGAUUUAUUUAGACUCUAUUUUGAGCUUAGACCAUUUGUUGAAAGACAUGCAGCUUCUCAGUAGCGCAUCUGGGCAGAAACAGUCUCUGGCUUCAUCUCCGCACCACCCCCUGCGCUGCCAUGACUGCAGUCACGCCAUCCUCUGGCUUCAUCUCGGCCCUCAUGGACUUUCAAACCCAACAUAACCUCCCUCCCCAAAGAUACUCUGCUGCAGUCCCGAGCGCAUUUCUACAGUUGCUGUUGGUUAUAAACUGCCAUCUUUUAAAGAGGUCAUUUUAUCAUUAGAGUUCUCUGUCGUCAAUACUGUUAAUUUCUGCUUGAAACUCUCCCUGGUGGCACAGCUCUCCUGACAGGGCUUCACUACGUCCAUCCCUCCUCCUGUCUCUAAUAUAGAUUUCCUACGCCGCCUCCCUCAGGAAGCUAAUAUUUCUCCUAAUUUAAAUCACCAUCUUUAUGUGGUGCCUCACUUUUUGUCGUCACAUGGACACUCUGGUACCGCUUCUCUAACUCCGACAGAUCCAUCCCUUUAAUAUCACAUCAUAUUGGCAGGAGGCCAACUGAAUUCGGCACUUUCAGCUAAGUAAGGGCAGAACCUGAGACUUAGCACCUGACGUACCCUUGCCAAACACUGGGCAGGCCUAGAAUAAAACAGCUGAAACGUCUGUUGACUUGACAUGGAGAAAGAACUAAAUUUUGAGCAAGUCAUA